CGGCAGCACGGGAGCAAUCCUGGUGGCGAGUGGCGAACGGGUGAGUAAAGUAUCGGAACGUGCCCAGUCGUGGGGGAUAACGCAGCGAAAGUUGUGCUAAUACCGCAUACGAUCUAUGGAUGAAAGCGGGGGAUCGCAAGACCUCGCGCGAUUGGAGCGGCCGAUAUCAGAUUAGGUAGUUGGUGGGGUAAAGGCUCACCAAGCCGACGAUCUGUAGCUGGUCUGAGAGGACGACCAGCCACACUGGAACUGAGACACGGUCCAGACUCCUACGGGAGGCAGCAGUGGGGAAUUUUGGACAAUGGGCGCAAGCCUGAUCCAGCAAUGCCGCGUGCAGGAUGAAGGCCUUCGGGUUGUAAACUGCUUUUGUACGGAACGAAAAGGCUCUGGUUAAUACCUGGGGCACAUGACGGUACCGUAAGAAUAAGCACCGGCUAACUACGUGCCAGCAGCCGCGGUAAUACGUAGGGUGCGAGCGUUAAUCGGAAUUACUGGGCGUAAAGCGUGCGCAGGCGGUAAUGCAAGACAGAUGUGAAAUCCCCGGGCUUAACCUGGGAACUGCAUUUGUGACUGCAUUGCUGGAGUGCGGCAGAGGGGGGUGGAAUUCCGCGUGUAGCAGUGAAAUGCGUAGAUAUGCGGAGGAACACCGAUGGCGAAGGCAAUCCCCUGGGCCUGCACUGACGCUCAUGCACGA
rnacentral:rRNA from 1 species